UGCAAGGAUUUCUUUACACACACGCAUAUAGCAAUUUGGCGCAAUAAGUAAUAUUAUCCAGACCUCACUUGGGAUAAUCCUGUGUCCAAAUCUGGGCACCAAAAUCCAAGAAGAAUGAAAGUUCUCCUCUACUUUGGACUGACCAUCGGACGGAGGCCACAGGGGAGCAUCCAUUGGCGUGUUUCCAGUUCUCAAGAGUUGCUUUGAGCGGAAGCAGAAUGACUUGCGAUGACUGAUGGAACAAAUGGAGUUGGGAGAUCACUUGGUUGAUUAAAAUCUAAUUAACUCAUUACAGUUGAUUUAUGGCAUUAUUGUUAAAUUAUUAAUCUACCCUAUUAUCCAAAGGAGCCUUAAGGCAGUUCCCAA
rnacentral:lncRNA from 11 species